rnacentral:lncRNA from 1 species
UAAUUUAGCAUCAACAAGGGUCACACCUCUUAUAUAGUUAUUUGGAACAAGAAAUGAAUAAUAAUUUACCAGGAGAGACCUCAUAAUUCAAGCAUAUAGGUGGUUGGCCCCAUAUGGCCUAAACUUACAAAUAUCAAUACAUAUAAGUAAAUUUGGCCCACACAGCAUCAUUAUGUUCUUACCUCUUUCGGAUUCAUCAGGCAUCAUCACAAUAUUGACAUAUUUCUCUGAAUUCAUCGGGAUUAUCAUAAUAUCACACAUUCCUCUAGAAUUGAACCGGGCAUCAUCAUAAUAUAACAUAUUCCUCCAAAUUCACCGAGCAUCAUCAAAAUAUCACAUAUUCCUCCGAACUCGAAUCGGGCAUCAUCAUAAUAUCACAUAUUCCUUCGGACUCGAAUCGGGUAUCUUUAUAAUAUCACAUAUUCCUCCAGAUUCACUGGGCAUCAUCAUAAUAUCAUAUAUUUCUCCAGACUCAAACUGGGCAUCAUCAUACUAUCACAUAUUCAUAUAGAGUCAAACCGAGCAUCAUUAUACUAUCACAUAUUUUUCUAGAUACAACAACAUACGUCCACAUGCAUAGCCAAACCAAUAACCAAAUACUCAAGCUCACAAUACAUAAAAAAAUAGGGAUGUGGGAUAACACUUGCCAUUUUACCUUACUAAUAAGCUUCACACGUAAUGUGAGCAUCAAUAAGAGCAUGAGUAUUUACCAAACAUUCACAAUAAUCACUUAACAAGGUUAUUCAAGUCAUGAUAAUAAGAAAAUAUGAUAAUCGAGUGCAACCAUCCCAACUUCUAUACAUAUACAUAUAGCUUGGACAAUCACUACGUAUCUAGGUCGCUAAGCAUUUACUUUGUUCAAGCUUAAGGUGGGUCAAUUCCCACUUCUAAAUCCCGAGAAUACCAAGCUUACUAAAAUAUGUCUAGCAUCUACCCAAAAUUAGGCUAAGUCAUCCAUACCUCACCAUAAAGUCUUACCAAUCCUUUCUAAAUCUAUAGGGAAAGUCUCUUCAAGAAUCCUUCCUAAGUAAACCCAACACCAAGGUCAUCUCCUAUCUAGGAAUUAUAUAGGUUAAUACACUCCUACAGAUAGAGAAGUAUACCAUUCAUGUCUACUUAGGACAACUAUAGUAUUCUCACACUAUUCAUGAGACCACAAUUAAGCUAACCAAGGUCCUAAAGUAAGUGUCAAAUAUCAUACCUUACAAAUCCAUGGACUAUAACAAUUAAUAAAUCCCAAGUUCACUAAUUAAUCAACUAUCGUCUAAAUUCCCCACCCAAUCUCGCAAGAUAUUAAUGAUUAUAUUAUAAACAAGCUCAAUCUGGACCACGAGUAAGCCUAACCUACCUUGAAUCCAAGCAAAUCAUGAACCAACGAGUUUUUCCUUUCCUUUUUGAGAAGCUUUCUCUUCCACAAGCAAUGCUAUCAACAAUAUAAUCUAAUCAUUACAACAAGAAUAAAAAUACCCAUUAUAGCACCAUUGUGCCAUGGGUUUCAAAAUGACAUCAAACCUCAAGUGGGUCCUACCUUUGGAAAAUGAGUUGCUGAUACCAACCCAUAGUCUAAAUAUUAUUAGGGAGCUAAUAACCCUCAAGAAAUUUAAGUAAAUCAAUCAUAUUUUUGGAUACAAUUGAACGUCAAAGACUUAGGAUUUUUUGGUCUAGAAAUCAAGAAAUUAAUAUCAAAUUUGAAAAAAUCUUACCUUAGAUUUGUAGAAGAAAAAUUAGAUUAACACAAGUUGCUAAGCUUCUAAUCAAUCGACAAGACUCAUUUUUUCUGUCAACAAAUAUUUAUGGCUUUUAGGGUUUUGAAAAUGCUGAAAAUAUCUCAAAAAUUGGCCAAAGGGCCUUUUUAUACGAGUUCAAAUGGGUCAGUAGGGUCAAAACUUGUUUUUCACCUACCAGACUCAUUCAGACUCUGUUUUUCACAAACGAACUAUGUAACCUUACUAAAUUUGAUAUUUUAGAUACAUUGGUGAAGUUAGAUUUGCCAUCCGAGGUCAUUUAAGCUACUUGUUGGUCCCACACCCAUAUAUUUCGACUUUUGACUUUUUGACUAAUGGGUCAAAUUAGCUUGGGUGCUGUGGGAUCCGAACCAAAAGUCUACCUAUCGUAAAAUCAAUAUUACAUAGCUACUGAUGUAGUCAAAAUUUGUAUCUGAAAUUGUUUUGGUAAAGUUUUUGUUUAGAGGCCAUUUGGAAUCGACGAAGACUUCAAAUUGGAAAAGUGGUUCUAAAAACCAAACAAACUGUCAUGUAACCGACUUAUCGAUUCCACCAAGUAACUAAUGACUUGUGACGGCUAUGAAGGAGCUCUAUAAGCAAAGAUAAGCAAAACACAGCUAAUGGCCUGGAGGUUCAUUACAAAUACACACUUGAAUUUAUUUUUGGUUAGAAAUGAUAUAAAUACCAAGUUCUUUAUCAACUACAGUAUAUGAAGGACUUUGUUGAGUGUCAACGCCUUUCCUUAUGUUAUCUUCAAGAAAAUUUUUCUUGUUCCUUCAACCUUUGCUAUUGUGGAGUUAUCCAUAUAAAUCUUCUCCUCAUCUUGAGCCGAAGCAUAAGAACCAAAAAACUCCUUGUUGGCACAUAUGUAGCAUGUGGCACUGGAAUCAAUCCAUCACUCUUUAGGAUUACCCACCAAGUUACAUUCUAAGAGCAUGGAUCAUAGAUCAUCCACUUUAUUUUUUGAUUCAGCCAUGUUGGCUUGAUCCUUCUUCUUGACUUUCUUUGGGGCCCGAUAAUCUAUGGAUUUAUGGCCAGCCUUGCCAUAAUUAAAGCAAUUUUCUUUGAACUUUUUAUUUAGAGGAUUGCUUUGUUGUUCAAAUGUUUUCUUUUAUUUCUUUAAGUUAUUAGGGUCAUCUUCAUCAAGAUUUGCUCCACUAAUUACAGAAUUCCCUUUUUCAUCUACUUUGUUAUCUUCUUCAGUAUGUAACCUCACGAUGAGGCCUUCAACAGAAAUUUUCUUUUCUUUAUGCUUCUAGUAAUUUUUAAAGUCGUUCCACAAAGGUGACAACUUUUCUAUUAUAGCCACUACUUUGAAAGCCUUAUUCACAAUCAAACCUACAACAAAGAUUAUAUGAUUGUUAAAAAGAACUUUAAUAUGUUCAAGUAAGGUACUCACUAUGUUUAUACCUUCUGCUAGGAGAUCAUGGAUGAUCACUUACAGUUGUUGCACUUGAGAGAUGAUAUUCUUACGGUUUGUCAUCUUAAAUACAAGAAAUUUUGCAAGAAGAACUAUUUAGUUCCAGCAUCCCCAGUUUUAUAUCUUAAUUCCGAUGCAUCCCAUAAUUUUUUCAAGGUUUUUAGACCGCUGUACACAUUGUACAGAUACUCUUGAAGACUACUUAGUAUAUAUUUCUUACAUGAAAAGUUUGAGCCUUUUCUUGCCUGCAUUACUAUAAAACGUUCCUUGUUCGGUAUCUCUUAGGGAAAUUGUUUAACAUUUUCAAAGAUAAACCUUUAAAAACUUAGAGUCGUCAAAUAGAAGAACAUCUUUUGCUACCAACGUUUGAAAUUCACACCUGGAAACAUUUUGAAUUUUUUUGUUGGUGCCAUAGUGAGCGCGACACUCGUAUGGCUUAUUGUAGCAACAGUUGUAGUUGCUAUACUUGUCUUUUUACCAUUUUAAUGACUUUCAACAGGCAUUUUUUCUGUCACAAAAAGACAACCAAUUUAGUAUGUCAGAAGAAUACUAACUAUAAAGUUUUAAAAACUCUAAGCACCAACUUGUUUCUAGUUUAACAGUGAAGUUUUUAUGUUUUUCAAAUCGUCAAUCGAAUGAACUUUAACUUGUGGUAAAAUUUUUAUAUCUUUAAAUCACUAUUAAGUUCAAACAGAGUAGAAAUUCAAAUUCUUUAAUCUUUAGAAGCAUAAAAAUACAGAGAUUUCAAUGAAUCAGUGAAGUAUUUAUAUUCUGCAAACCAAAUUCCCAAAUUGAUUUGUCGGUUAAGUUUUUAUAUUCUAUCUGUAUUGAUUAAUCAUGUGUUUCAAGGCAUCCCUAUACAUCUAUUAUCAAAACUCAAUCCUCCUAAAGGGGUACUAAGGCAUUUACAUAGCAUCUUUGCUAUGUUUUUCCGGAAGAACACCACAGAUAAGAAGAGUAGACAUUGGGUGAGUUGGGACACUUUAUGCUUACCUAAAUUAGAAGGAGGUGUUGGUUUUAGGUCUCUUUUUGAUGUUUCUAAUGUUCUUUUUUGUAAAAUUUUAUGGAACUUGAGGAGUAGACCUUCACAAUUGGGAGCUUUUAUGACCAACAAAUAUUGCAAAAAAGCUUCAUCCAGUAUUGACCUAAUGUAGGGGAGAUUCCCCUAUAUGGAAAAAGCUAAGAUUUGACAGAGAGCUCAUAGAGCAUCAAAUUUGGUGGAAGAUUGAGAAUGGGAAUUCUAGUUUUUGGUAUGACUUUUGGACUACAAUGGGAGCAUUAUAUCACAUUAUCGCAGAUAUAGGGGAUGGGGAAAUUGAAGUUAGGAAUUUUACAACUGUAAAUAGGUGGAAUGAGCAAAGUUUGAGUAAAUUUUUCCCUAAAGAGAAUGUAGAUUUCAUCAUUAAAAACAUCUGAUCUCCAAUGCAAAUAGAUAAUCUAGAUAAAUAGUGUGGAUGCUUGAACCUAGUGGAAUUUUCUCAGUCAAGAGUGUGUGUGAGUAUACUAUACAAAAGGAUCAGAAAGAAGACAUAUUUUAAUAUUUAUGGAGUGAUAAGCUGCCUUUUAAAAUAUCUUUUUUCACUUGGAGAAUGUGGAAAUUCAGGGUGCCAGUGGAUAAAAUAGUGCAACACAUGGGUGUUAACAUGGUUUCUAGGUGUUGGUGUUGCACUAAUGGUUACUAAUGUUGCAGGUAUAUACAUUGAAGGCUUACAGUUAUCACAAGUGAUCAUUAAAUGGUGGCCAAGAAAAUGUUGUUCAAACUUAAAGCUACUUAUGAGAGCUAUAUCAUCUAUAAUUAUUUGGAACCUAUGGAAGAGAAGGAAUAGAUUAAAGCAUUGAAAUACAUCAUCAUUUACUCAUUUAGUUUUCAAGGUCAACGCUAACCUAUGAAGACUCGGGAGAAUUCUACAUCCAAAAAUACAUGAUUUCCCAAUACACUGGUAAAAUAUUAUGGUAUAUUAAGAGAACCUUAAAGCCAAACUAUUUCAUCUUCCAAUUUGCUGGAAACCACUGGAAGGAUGUCUAAAAUACAACACUGAUGGUAUAUCAAGAGGCAAUCCAUGUAGGAGCACCUGCAAUUUCUUCUUGAGGAACUUUGCAGGUGAUUUAAUAUAUGCUCAAGGGGAAAAAAUUCAGGAAAGCACAAUUCUAGAAGCAGAAGCCAUGGCAAUAAAAAAGGCUCUAGCACACUGUGUGACAAAAGGGAUUACUAAAGUUAGUCUGGAAAUGGAUUCACUAAUGAUGAUUAAAAUUCUUACAAAAAUGUGAUUACCUUGGAAUAUUAUUGGGAUCGUGGAAGCAGAACAGAAAUAUUUAGAACUAUGUCAGGUUCACAUCCAACAUGUAUACAAAAAGGGUAAUUAUUUGGUUGAUUGCUAGCCAAUUUAGCUUUUGAUAAUACAGGUAGACUUGUCUUUAAUUUCUUCUCAGAAUUACCAAGUCAUGCCAGAAGGAUUUUGAAUCUAGAUAAGCAUCAAGUGCCAAAUUUAAGAAUUCGUACUAAGGAAAUAGUUAGAUAUAAGGAUGGGUGUCAAGGAUCCGUCACAACAAUUAUAAGAUGAGUUCAAGCAUUUUUAUUUUCUUGAUGUAGAUUAGUAUUUCUAGUACCUUUGUAGAGGAACAAUUCAUUUCAAAAACCCAAUUCAUAAGGGCAUUUAUAGAUCUAAAGUCAUUGUACUUGAGCGAAGAAUUAUAGAAGACAUGAUUAUAAGUCUUGGUACAGAUUCAAACUUCUUUGAGUCGUCACAGAUGCAAGUCAAAGCUAUAGGAAAACACACAGAUAUAAAGAUAAAUAUUUGCAAAGGGAAAGCCAACUUAUACCUGGAAAAAACUCCAAAAAUCUAUUUGAAGCAGGUUGUGGUCGGUUAAUAAGAAGCUCGCCGGAAGUCUUUCGCUCCAGGAGCUCAUCACCAAACAUUUUUGUUGCUAAAAAUAUUAGUAGGAAAGCCAAGAAAUAAAAAUAAUAUGGGAAAGGAGCUUACAUUUGUUUCACAGCAGGUCAUCACUUUCCUAUUUGCUCAAAUGAUGGAAGAUGAUGGAGAGGAAUUAGCAGAGCUUCUGAUUCAUUUGCCUCUUCAUUUUCUUACUUUUUGUAUUAUUAUUUCCAAGGAAAUGUAUCGAUUGGGAUGCUCUUUUUUUUAUGGACA